rnacentral:tRNA from 1 species
GACAGCGUGGCCGAGCGGUCUAAGGCGCCAGACUCAAGUGUAAACUUGCCUGCGUUAAGUAGGCCUGAGUGUUCUGGUCAGUGAAUACUGGCGUGGGUUCGAAUCCCCCACCGCUGUC